rnacentral:lncRNA from 1 species
CGGCGAGCUUUUUACCCGGGCGGCCUCUCAACCCUAGGUCAGCGGGUUGCGGAGGAUCGUGCGGGUAGCAAAGGGAGGGCGAGUGCUCCUGCGGCCCCAGACGGCAACCAGGAUCUAAUUCAGGAUCCCACAUUGUAUUUGUCAUAUCUCCUUAGGCCCUUUCAAUCUGGGACAGUCCUUUUGUCUUUCAUGUCUUUGGAAACUUUUGAAGAGUCCUGGCCAGAACAUACAUCAUUGUUAGAAUCAUCACCCUGCAGCUAGCUUGGACACCAUUAAAAGGGCUCAUCAACUGCAAACGGAUAGAAGUAUCUGAUAUUCGUGAAGACAGAGUUUCAGGGCUUCUGCCUGGAGCUACACUCUCCAGAAGCCCCUGCUUGGCCUCUCUGCACCCAACCCCACCCCAACCAGUCACAGCUUGGGUCGUGUGUGGUGUUUCUUGGCAACUGGAAAACAGACUCCUCCAGCAGCUCCACAGGCCCCUUGUCCUCACUGAGCAGAAGACUACAGAAGCUGGCUACUGAAGAAGCUGUCCAAGUCUUAGAGCUCCUCCUUGGCCCUGCUUAGCACACUUACCACAGAGCAGUAACCGAGUGCUGGCUGUUACUCAUUUGCGCUUACUACCUGCAGGGACUUCAGAGGGAUUUGUCAGACCCCAUUUCACCCUAAGGCCACUCCCUAAGAAUCUCCACAGGAGGCUACCCAUAGAGAGAGGUGGCUUGCCUAGGGUCUCCACUGCCUUAGGUCAUACGUGGACACUUCCAGGGCUAAGGGGAUUAAUAUCUUUUUGCCUACCUGUAACCCACAUAUCCAUUGGAAAAUUCUGCCUCCUGCUAUUUUCUGUUCUUUUAUUUGUUUUUUGGUAGGAAGAGUUUUAACUACUUCUUCAGUUCCUUUAAUAGUUGGAGGAUUAUUCAGGAUUUCUUUUUCUUCUUGCGUUAAUUUUGGUAAGUUAUAGUUUUCUAGGAAUUGGUCCAUUUUGUCUGUGUUCUCAAACUUGUCGGCAUAAAGUUUCCUUGUUUUUUUGUUCUCUGUUCUAUCUGUAGUUAUGUCUCCUUUUUCAUUGCUGAUAUUGGUUAUUUGUGCUUUCUCACUUUUUUUCUUGAUCAAUCUCUCCAGAGGUUUGUCUAUUUUAUUAGUCUUUUCAAAGAACCAGCUUUUGGCUUUGUUGCUCCUCUCUAUUGUGUCUUUGUUUUCUAUUUCUUUAAUUUCUGCUCUUAUCUUUUUUGAUCUCCUUCCUUCCACAUUUUUUGGAUUUAUUCUGUUGUUCUUUUUCUAAUUUCUUAAAUUGGGCACAGAGCUCAUUAAUUUUUGUGCAUUUAAGGACAUAACUUUCCCUCUAACUACUGCUUUUCUUCAAGUUCAGACAUGUCGUAUUUUAUUAUUGUUCGGUUCCAAGUACUCAGCAUUUCCAUCGUGGUUACUUCUUUGACCUGCGAGAAGUGUGUUUCUAAAUAUUUGGAGAUUUAAAAUUUUACCUCUUUGUUAUUGAAAUUUGUCUUAAUUGCAUUAUGAUCAGAGGAUGUGAUCUGUGUGAUAAAAGCUCUGAAAUUUAUUGAGACUUGUUUUAUGGCUUAGUACGUGAUCAGUAUUUUUGAAUGUUUCCUAUGUGAUUUAUAAGAAUGUAUGUUCUCUAAUUGUUGAAUACAGAGUUCUACAUAUGUCUAUUAUCAAGUUUGUUAAUUGUAUUGUUCACAUUUUCUAUAUCUACUGAUUUUCGGGGGGUCGUACUAUACCAUGAAUUGUAAGGUGUGUUAAUAUUCAGUUCUGAUGGUGGAUUUAUCUGUUUCUUCUUGUAAUUCUCUUUUUCUUUACAUGUUUUGAGGGUAUUUUAUUAGGAAUAUUCAAAUCAAGAAUUGUUAUAUAUUCCUGCUAAACAUGUAUGACGUUCUCUAUUCCUGAUAAUGCAUUUUUCCUUGAAGUCUAUUGUAUCUUACAGUAAUAUAGAAACACAGACUUUUCUCCUGUUAGGAUUUGUGUUACUUUGAAACAUUUUCAUGCCUUAAUACUUUAAUUAUGUCUCUUGGGAAUGGCAUACAGCUGGACCUUUUAAAAAUCGAAUCUAAUGCUCUCUAUCUUUUAAUGGGCAAGUUUAGUCUGUUUACAUAUAUUGUGAAAUAUUUGGAUUUUUCUCUACCGUCAUAGUUUUUUAUUUCUAUUUCCUACCACCACCUUUGUGAUGCUUCAUUUUUCUCUUUUUUUGCCUGCUUUUUUCAUUUGUUUGUUUCCUUAUUCUAUUUUUUUCCUCAUUGCGGUUUGGAAUUUACCUGUUCUUUUCCCAUUAUUUCUGUGGUUAUCCUUGAGGUUUUGCUGUGCACAUAUAACUUAUAAGUUUUUAAGUUAAAACAGUGCUGGAGUUCCCAUCAUGGUGCAGUGGAAACGAAUCCGACUAGGAACCAUGAGGUUGCGGGUUCGAUUCCUGACCUUGCUCAGUGGGUUAAGGAUCCGGCAUUGCCAUGAACUGUGGUGUAGGUCGCAGACAUGGCUUGGAUCUAAUGUGGCUAUGGCUGUGGUGUAGGCCUGCAGCCGUAGCUCCAAUUCGACCCCUAGCCUGGGAACCUCCAUGUGCCAUGGGUAUGGCCCUAAAAAACAAACAUAAAUCAAUCAAUCAAUAAAGUUAAACAGUACUUUAACAUCCUUCUUGAAUGCGAGAAGCUUAGAAACAUUCAACUCUAGUCAUUCCUCUCUUGGACCACGUGUUAUUUUUUUGAGUAUAUUUAUUUCCUCCCUUUCCCCCCCUAACCUCACAAAUUCUAUAUCAUCCUUAGUAUUAUUUUAUGUAGAUGGUGUGUGUUUGGAUUUUCAUGCAUAUAUUCUUGCAUCUCAGACCAUCAUUCUGGGAUCAUUUUCCUGCAUUAUGAAUACAGUGUUGAGAUGCCCUUUUAGUACAGAUUUGUUGGUGUUAAAUUCUCCCAGUCUUUAUUAUAUGUAAAUGUCUUUAUUCUAUACUCAUUCUUAAAAGAUAGAUUGUUAUAGGUAAUAUUAGAAGUCCAUUGUCAGUCUAAUUACUAUUUUUGUAGGUGUUUUUGUUUUCUGGGUAUUCUCAAGGUCUCUCUCUCUCAUGGAGGAGAAUGUUCAGGGGGUUCUGCACUUUCAUUCUAUUAGUGUUUCGGUAUGUAUUUCUUUUUUAUUUAUUGUACUUUGGAAAUGUGCUUCAUGCCUCUGGAUUCAUGUUUUUCAUAAUUUCUAGAAAGUUCUCAGUCAUUAUCUCUUCAAAUAUUGCCUUUCCUCCAUUAUUUCUAUGUUUUCUUUCUCAGAAUUCAGUUAGUCAUAUUUUGCAUCUCUUCAUUCUAUCUUCCAUAUCUCGUAACAUCUCAUUGAUAUUUUCUAUCUUGUCUUCUUGCACUUCAUUGUGGACAAUUUCUUCAGAUAUAUCUUUCAGCUUAUUGAUUCUCUCUUCAGCUGUGUCUGAUCUGCUGUUUAAUCUGUCCACAGAAUUUUUUAUUUCAACAAUGGUAUUUUUCAUUUGUACAGCCUUCAUAUAUUUCACUUACCAAUCUGCCUGGUCAUCUCUUAAUAGUUUCUUGUUGCUUGCUCAUCUUUGUGGUUGCCUCUGUUAUUUCUUUAAACAUUUUAUACAAUUUUUGUUCAACCAGUGUCACUGUUUGCCUGAGUAUGGCAUUGUAAAUAUUGUUCACAUCCAGACUACAUAGUACAGUCUAAUGACAUAUCCUUUGUUACAUACCUUUUUGUUUUCCUAGUAAUUCCCUCGUUUUUUUGGUUUGUUUUUUUUUUCUUUUGCCUAGUGUUCUAAUACCAUUACUAGGUCUUCUCUGAAAUUCUUUUAAAAAUCCCUAUCAGGCUGUGUCCCUCCUCUGCUCAAAAUUCUCCCAUAACUCCCAUCUCCCUCAGAAUAAAAGCCAAAGCUCUCACCAUGGCCCCAAAGUUUCUACACAAGCUGGUCCCCAUAACCUCUCUGACCUGGCCUCAUAUCACUCUUCCCAUCACUCACUCUUCUCCAGCCACAUUGGCCUCCUUGCUGUCCCUUAAACAUGCCAGAUAUCCCCCCUCUUCAGAGCCUUUGUACUUGCUGUUAUCACUGUCUGGAACACUCUAAAUUGUAGAUAAUCUGAUGACUUGCCCACCCACUUCUAGUAUGCUCAAAUGUCACCUCCCUCGAGAAGCAUUCCCUAACCACCAUAUCUAAAAUAACCCCAUUCACCAGCACUUUCAUCAUCCCCUUAUCCUAUUUAUGGCUUAUGUUUUUCUGCAGAGCACUGAUCACCACCUGAUAUAUUUAUUUAUUUAUUGUGAUUAGUGUUUGUCUGUCCCCAAUAGACUGUAAGCUCCACAAAGCAGGACUCUUGUUUUUGUUCUUUGCUGUAUCCCCAGUGCCGAGAACAGUGCAUAGUAAUAUUGAGUAGAUACUCAAUAAAUAUUUGUGGAAUAAA